AUUGAACGCUGGCGGCAGGCCUAACACAUGCAAGUCGAGCGGAACGGCGGACGGGCGAGUAAUGCAUAGGAAUCUAACUGGGAGUGGGGGAUAACGACCGGAAACGGGCGCUAGUAACGAAUACUAUCAGAUGAGCCUAUGUCGGAUUAGCUAGUUGGUGGGGUAAAGACCUACCAAGGAGACGAUCCGUAACUGGUCUGAGAGGAUGAUCAGUCACACUGGAACUGAGACACGGUCCAGACUCCUACGGGAGGCAGCAGUGGGGAAUAUUGGACAAUGGGCGAAAGCCUGAUCCAGCCAUGCCGCGUGUGUGAAGAAGGUCUUCGGGUUGUAAAGCACUUUAAGUUGGGAGGCGUUACCAGCAGAAUAAGCACCGGCUAACUUCGUGCCAGCCGCCGCGGUAAUAC
rnacentral:rRNA from 1 species